CCGGAGCCUGCGACCGAGUGGGAGUGGAGUAGGGCGGCCGUCGGUGCCGACUCUUUCCUCCUGCCCACGGUCCAGUCAGCGGGUUGAUUAGGCCAUCGGCCCUCAAGCCGAGACUUGUCUCUUAUUUAGUUCUGGGGAGCGCCUGGCCGACAUGAGUGAUGCAGAGGAGAACAACUUCGAGGGCAGAGAGUCUCGCUCUCAGUCAAAAUCUCCAACGGGAACUCCUGCUCGUGUAAAAUCGGAGAGCAGGUCAGGAUCUCGUAGUCCAUCAAGGGUUUCCAAACACUCUGAAUCCCAUUCUCGAUCAAGAUCAAAAUCCAGGUCGAGGUCAAGGAGGCAUUCUCAUAGACGUUACACUCGAUCCAGAUCCCAUUCUCACUCUCAUAGGAGACGGUCUCGAAGUAGGUCAUACACACCAGAAUACCGGCGUCGAAGGAGCCGAAGUCAUUCGCCAAUGUCUAACGGGAGAAGACAUACAGGCAGCAGGGCAAAUCCUGAUCCCAAUACUUGUCUAGGAGUGUUUGGCCUCAGUUUGUACACAACAGAGAGAGAUCUUCGCGAAGUAUUUUCUCAAUAUGGACCGUUGAGUGGUGUCAAUGUGGUUUAUGACCAGCGAACUGGACGGUCACAAGGAUUUGCUUUUGUUUAUUUCGAGAGAAUAGAUGACUCAAAGGAGGCUAUGGAAAGCGCAAAUGGAAUGGAACUGCAUGGUAGAAGAAUUCGGGUGGAUUAUUGUAUCACCAAGAGAGCACACACACCAACACCAGGCAUAUACAUGGGCAGACCAACUCACAGUGGCGGCGGUGGCGGCAGCGGCGGGGGCGGCAUUUUUUUUUUUAGAAAUGAAAAGCUUGUGGACUCCUGCAAAACAUGUUGUAUUUAA